AUGAGGGACCUCCCAUCCAAGGCGCAGCGGUGGGAGCUCCUGCACAGCGACAUACGAGGCGGUAAGGAGGAGGCGCUCGGGUCGGGCAUGUGUGCGGAGGCGGCGGCCUGGAGGGAUCGAGAGGAGAGAGCGAGAAGAAGAUGGGAUCGGGCAGGGAUCGAGGGAGAGGAAGAAGGCUCGGCGGCGCUCGAGGGACAGAGAUGGGGAUCGAUCGGGAUUGGGUAG
rnacentral:rRNA from 1 species